GCAUCACUGCAGUAAGACAUCCUUAUGGUCUCCAGACCUACAACUGGACUCUGAAUCUUCAUCCCACUGAUGUUCAUGAGAGCCCAGUCUCCUCAUCCUGUUUUGCAUGUGGAGCAAUGUACCCUUUGACAUAUGGAAUGAUGUGCAAAUAGCUCUUGGAAAAAGAGAGGAUGGAUGAAGUCAGGCUGUGAAGGACCGCAUCCAGCAGCAUUGUCUGCUAAGCUCAAGUAUCAUGUAACAAUGGAGGAAUGCAGAAAACAUGACUGUGUGCAGUGCUGUGGUGAGAAACUGCCCCACGUUCAUUGGAUCCCAUCAUGUGCUACAGGAGUGAGAAUCCUCAGCAGAUGGUGGUGAUGUAACUUUCUGGAGGUAAAGGCUGCAAGAAACGACCACUUCAUACAUCAAUUUGAUUCACUGAUUACUCACAAAACACUACGUAUAGGCAAGGAAAAGAAUACAAAACAAAAUUGUAUGGACAUCUUGAUGACAGAGUGUUCUGGUUUGCACCAGGAAACGCUGAGAACAACCCAGUACUCUGUAAAGUUUGUCGUAAGCAUGUAAAAAUAUAUGAAUGCCAAUGGAAAUUAUUGACCAAACAAUCUCCUUUUUGGUGGGAAAUAUGGUUUAUCAAUACUUGUACUGACCUGCUUGAAAUACUCCAGGCGGAAUGGGAAAAACAGGCAGAACUCCGAACAAUUUAAAGCGUAUUUAGAACUGGCUGGAAACCAGAAGUCAUCCUGCAGUUUUAUUUACAGAAAAAGCAGUCUGUUUCUUCAGGGAUUCGAUUGGUUUAAGGCCAGGAAGGACCAUGAGAACAUCUACUUUGAUGUUUUGUUUAAUGAAAGGCCAGCUACCCCCUAUACUUU